GUAGAACGCUGAAGAGAGGAGCUUGCUCUUCUUGGAUGAGUUGCGAACGGGUGAGUAACGCGUAGGUAACCUGCCUUGUAGCGGGGGAUAACUAUUGGAAACGAUAGCUAAUACCGCAUAACAAUGGAUGACACAUGUCAUUUAUUUGAAAGGGGCAAUUGCUCCACUACAAGAUGGACCUGCGUUGUAUUAGCUAGUAGGUGAGGUAACGGCUCACCUAGGCGACGAUACAUAGCCGACCUGAGAGGGUGAUCGGCCACACUGGGACUGAGACACGGCCCAGACUCCUACGGGAGGCAGCAGUAGGGAAUCUUCGGCAAUGGGGGCAACCCUGACCGAGCAACGCCGCGUGAGUGAAGAAGGUUUUCGGAUCGUAAAGCUCUGUUGUAAGUCAAGAACGAGUGUGAGAGUGGAAAGUUCACACUGUGACGGUAGCUUACCAGAAAGGGACGGCUAACUACGUGCCAGCAGCCGCGGUAAUACGUAGGUCCCGAGCGUUGUCCGGAUUUAUUGGGCGUAAAGCAAGCGCAGGCGGUUUGAUAAGUCUGAAGUUAAAGGCUGUGGCUCAACCAUAGUUCGCUUUGGAAACUGUCAAACUUGAGUGCAGAAGGGGAGAGUGGAAUUCCAUGUGUAGCGGUGAAAUGCGUAGAUAUAUGGA
rnacentral:rRNA from 1 species